AAACCCUCACAUAGCCGAAAUCAGAAACCCUAGCUUUCACCAAAUCCAAAAACCGGAAGAGAGAAAAGGGCGGUGGUGGAGGAGAAGACGAAAGCAAAAGAGUUUUGUAAUUCACCAUGGCGGAGCACUUGGCUUCCAUAUUCGGUACUGAGAAAGAUAGGGUGAAUUGCCCUUUCUACUUUAAGAUCGGUGCGUGUCGGCAUGGUGACCGCUGCUCUAGGCUUCACACCAAGCCUAGCAUCAGCCCUACCUUAGUGCUGUCUAAUAUGUACCAGCGCCCUGAUAUGAUUACCCCUGGUGUUGACCCUCAAGGCCAGCCCCUUGACCCUCGCCAGAUCCAGCGCCACUUCGAGGACUUCUAUGAAGAUCUGUUUGAAGAGCUUAGUAAAUAUGGAGAGAUCGAAAACCUUAACAUCUGUGACAAUUUAGCUGACCAUAUGGUUGGUAACGUUUAUGUCCAGUUCAGAGAGGAAGAUCAUGCUGCAAGUGCUCUUCAGAAUCUUACUGGAAGAUUUUACGCAGGACGUCCAAUCAUUGUCGACUUCUCCCCAGUGACUGAUUUUCGGGAAGCCACUUGUAGGCAGUAUGAGGAAAAUGUAUGUAACCGAGGUGGCUAUUGCAACUUCAUGCAUCUGAAAAAGAUAAGCAGGGAGCUGAGAAAGCACUUAUUUAAGAGCAGGCGCAGACGCAGCCACAGUAGAAGCCGAAGCCCACGUGGUCAUCGCAAUUAUGAUGAGCGUCCACCUGGAGGCCGUGGUUUUGGUAGAAGAGGAGGUGGAGGAGGUGAUCACCGCUACAAUGAUAGAGGGAGGAGACCUAGGAGCAGAAGUCCUGGACGAAGGAGUGGACACAGCAGAAGUCCCGGGGGUAGGAGAAAUAGAAGUCCAAUUAGGGAAGGAAGUGAGGAGAGAAGAGCAAAGAUUGAGCAAUGGAACAGGGAAAGGGAAGAGGCAGGAUCUGGGAGGAAUCAUGGCAGUAGUACGCGUAGGGAAGACAGGGACGGCAGUGCUGAGAGGAGGGAAAAGAUAGAGCAAUGGAAUAGGGAAAAAGAAGAGGCAGAAUCUGCUAAAUACAAUAAUUUUGACACUGAUAAUGGCAAGAGUGAUGGUGGUGAUCACUAUGGAGAACAGUUCGAUGAUGGUUACCCAAAGCAGCAGUAGGUAGCAAAUAGAAGUUAUGGCUUCUGCUAGUAGUGUUACUCUGGGUGGAGUACAGGUCCACUGUGCUGGUUUUGAAAAAAGCAUAACCCUUCUAUUGUCUUCUUUUUACCAUGUUUAAAAGGACAGGACUUUGUUUAGGAGGGAUCAUAGAGAGGCCUACUUAGGAACAUUGCCAUUUUCCUGACUCUGAUGCAUCAGUUGCUCGUACAGUGAAGCUUGCAAUGAUCAAAAUCUCAUGCUAAUCUUCCAGUGUCUUUUUUUCCCGUCUCCUGCUGACUACUAUUUUUCUAAUUUAGGUUUUCUCUGCUGCAGACGAGUCCACUGGACUUUUAACAUGCUAGGGAUGGUGAGAAGUGAAGGAAGAGAGUCCAUGGACCUAUGAAGUUCUAGUUUCCGUUUUGGGUUUUUACCAUUUGUUAGGUAUUACAGGUUUUUAUCCUCGAAGACAAUUGUGCUGUGUAUAACUGUACUUGUCUGUCACAUGUUGGAUUGAGUUCGUUUCAGUUUUUGCUUGUGUUAUUUAAGUGGAAUGCAGGUUUCUGUUGAACCGCUUUGUUAAAGAGAGCAGGAUAUUUAUUUGGCAGUUGCUAGCCUGCAGUGUAUACUUCUUUUGCAGAUCCUUUCA